rnacentral:rRNA from 1 species
AGUGAACGCUAGCGGUAGGCCUAACACAUGCAAGUCGAACGGCAGCACGGUAAGAGCUUGCUCUUACGGGUGGCGAGUGGCGGACGGGUGAGGAAUACAUCGGAAUCUACUUUUUCGUGGGGGAUAACGUAGGGAAACUUACGCUAAUACCGCAUACGACCUACGGGUGAAAGCAGGGGAUCUUCGGACCUUGCGCGAUUGAAUGAGCCGAUGUCGGAUUAGCUAGUUGGCGGGGUAAAGGCCCACCAAGGCGACGAUCCGUAGCUGGUCUGAGAGGAUGAUCAGCCACACUGGAACUGAGACACGGUCCAGACUCCUACGGGAGGCAGCAGUGGGGAAUAUUGGACAAUGGGCGCAAGCCUGAUCCAGCCAUACCGCGUGGGUGAAGAAGGCCUUCGGGUUGUAAAGCCCUUUUGUUGGGAAAGAAAAGCAGCAGGUUAAUACCCCGCUGUUCUGACGGUACCCAAAGAAUAAGCACCGGCUAACUUCGUG